UACGUAGGCGGAAGAUUAAGCCAGUGGUGAAAUCCUGCAGCUUAACUGUAGAACUGUCAUUGAUACUGGUUUUCUUGAAUUUAGUUGAGGUAGGCGGAAUGUGUAAUGUAGCGGUGAAAUGCUUAGAUAUUACACAGAACACCGAUUGCGAAGGCAGCUUACUAAACUAUGAUUGACGCUGAGGUACGAAAGCGUGGGGAGCGAACAGGAUUAGAUACCCUGGUAGUCC
rnacentral:rRNA from 1 species